rnacentral:ncRNA from 1 species
GUGAUAGCUGGUUCUCUUCGAAAUAUAUUUAGGUAUAGCCUCAAGUGAUAGUAAUAGGGGGUAGAGCUCUGAUUGGGCUAGGGCUGCUCACCGCGGUACCAACCCCUGUCAAACUACGAAUACCUAUUACCGUAUCUUGGGAGUCAGGCGGUGGGUGAUAAAAUCAAUCGUCUAAAGGGGAACAACCCAGACUACCAACUAAGGUCCCAAAGUUCUAUUCUAAGUGGAAAAAGAUGUGGAGUUACUCAGACAACCAGGAGGUUGGCUUAGAAGCAGCCAUCCUUUAAAGAUAGCGUAACAGCUCACUGGUCUAGUGAUUCUGCGCUGAAAAUAUAACGGGGCUAAGAUAGACACCGAAGUUGUAGAUUGUGCUGAUGCACAGUGGUAGAAGAGCGUUCG